GUAGGUGAACCUGCGGUUGGAUCAUUACUAUAAAUUCUUUCUCCGAAGGGAGUUAGGAACCAUAGCCCUAAGGCAUCUGCUAGGCAAAAACUCUCUGAGUACCUGCUCAGCAUUGUCAUAGGGAUUUUGGGAACAUUAUGUGAACUGUAUUGUCUCUGGCGGGGGGGGUGGAGUAUAAAUCAUUUACUCUAUCUGUCAGCUUGACGCUAAUAUUUUGUCAAGCCGUGGACAUCCCGUCAAACUCUUGUAAAACCUUUUGUCUUUUUUUUUGUCUGACAUUUUUUUUGUAUAAAUAUACAAACAACUUUUGGCAACGGAUCUCUUGGCUCUC
rnacentral:misc_RNA from 1 species